AAUUUAGGGAUAUGUUCCUCAACUUGAAAAAGAAAUGCAUAGACGGUGUGGAAGGCAUCCCCUUUGUUGGAAUAACAAAGGAGUUUCUUGAAAAACAGCUGAACUGUCUAUGUACCAGAUGCAAAUAUCUAGAGACAGCUUUACUAGAUAAAAAACGGGAGCUGGAAUAGUUUCAAAAGAAGUACAAUGGUAUGGUAAAGACAGGAGCUCAUUGGACCAGUGAACCAAAUUAUCGAAAAGGCUGGCAAUGAAGUAUAAGAGAUAGGUCAUCUAAAAUCUAGAGUGAAAGACAUUCAACUCAAGGGAGAAUAAAUAACAGACUGUGACACUUGCACUUCGAUUAGUUGAUCAGUAGUGUAUGAUGAUAGCAAUAAAUCAGUGAUACAGCACAUAAAAAAGUGAUAAAUCAAAAAAGUGAUAAAUCAAAAGUGAUACAGCACAUAAAAAAGCAGAAAUGACUUUGAAACCUAACAAAGACAGAAAUGUUAAUUUCUUGAAAGCAAUGGUUAAAAAAAGUGAAAAUGAAAAAGAAACAUAUGCCAGACAGUUCGACCAAAGACUGCAGCCAAUGAUUGAUGAAGUUGAAAAGCUUAAAACUGAGCUUGACUACUUCAAAAAACAGGACACAAUCAAGAACAAACGGAUCGAGGAUCUAACUAAAGAAAACAAAGAACUUUGGCAGAAUAAUGAGAUGCUGUCUUCUGUUGUGGACGACAGGACCAGUAUCUCAGACAGGUUGGACUCGAUAAAAGAUGACAACGAAGCUCUCAUAAAGUUCCGCGCAGAGACGGAGAAAACUCUGGCUGAACUUAAUAGGAAACAUGAAGAAGAUGUUGAAGUGCUGCAAGCACUGCUGGAAACAGAAAAAGAAAAAGUUGCGCGUCAGCAGUUUCACAACAGCCAAGUCGUCGACUUACUGGUGAAACGCCACAAAGAGGAGAAAAAUCGGAUGCAGCAAGUUUAUGACGAAAAUACAUCAAAACUCACAGACAAAGCAUAUGCUGCAGAAACAAAGUUAAAAAUCGUCAUAGGCAUUUAUGAUAAAUAUAUUGCAAAACUUGAGAAGAAAAUGGAAAUUGGUAAAAGUGUGAGCAUCAAUGCAGUCAAAGAACGUGAGGAGGAACAUAAAUCCUCGCAGUUUUGGAUCGAGGGCCUUUUGACGCAUAAUGCAAAGCUGCAGGACCAAAACGAAUUCAUGGGUAAAACGGUGAAAGAUUUAACAGAUGAGAAAGCUCAAAUGGGGAAGACCAUCAACGAAAAAACAGCCCAGCAAAUGGAGAUGAAACAAAAAUGUCAGAGAAAUAUUAGGGCUCUGGCCUUUGAAAAGAAAAUGAAGGCUGGGGUCGAAGAUGAAAAUGAUUCUCUGAAAAAGAAAAAUGAAGACAUAAAAAAGGCCCUAAGCAAAGAGAAGGAAGAACACAGAAAGACAGCAGUACACAGGCAUAAAGUAAAAACGGCACACAAUCAGGCACUGGCUGAAAAGAUCUCACUGGAAGAGCAACCGCGCGCCACAAAAAAGCAAACAGAAAUAUUCACACACAAAACGAAUUGCCUGGAAAAGAAAAAGCGCCACGGCUCAGUUUUUAAAACCUUAGGAUUUAACUACAGCCCAGCUGUAACUUUUAAAACUAGCUACAGCCCAGCCCAUGCAGCAGUAUAUG
ensembl:lncRNA